UGCGGUUAAAAAGCUCGUAGUUGGAUCUCGGCAAGUAGAGGGCGGUAUGCUUCGUAGCAUUACUGCCCUAUUACUUGUAGUUUUGCCAGAGGUUCCUGGGUGCUCCUAAUCGAGUGUCUAGGGAUGCUGGCAGGUUUACUUUGAAAAAAUUAGAGUGCUCAAAGCAGGCUAUUACGCUUGAAUAUUCGUGCAUGGAAUAAUAGAAUAGGAAGUUGUUUCUAUUUUGUUGGUUUUCGGAAAUCGACUUAAUGAUUAAUAGGGACAGUCGGGGUCAUUUGUAUUCAAACGACAGAGGUGAAAUUCUUGGACCGUUUGAAGACAAACUACUGCGAAAGCAUUUGCCAAGAAUGUUUUCAUUAAUCAAGAACGAAAGUUAGAGGUUCGAAGGCGAUUAGAUACCGCCCUAGUUCUAACCAUAAACAAUGCCAGCUAGCGAUCUGAGGACGUUUUUUUUGUAUGACUCCUCAGGAAGCUUCCGGGAAACCAAAGCGUGUGGGUUCCGGGGGAAGUAUGGUUGCAAAGCUGAAACUUAAAGGAAUUGACGGAAGGGCACCACCACGAGUGGAGCCUGCGGCUUAAUUUGACUCAACACGGGAAAUCUCACCACGCCCGGACACUGGAAGGAUAGACAGAUAGAGAGCUCUUUCUCG
rnacentral:rRNA from 1 species